rnacentral:lncRNA from 1 species
AGUUUGGGUACGACCCUUGUUAUGGAACAUGACUUGCCCGUGUUAAUCUCGGCUUCUUUGUAUGAGAGGGGGUGUUGGUACCAACACGACCCAUGUCAACUGACACAUACCAACCAUGUUGGCCACAGGUUUUAUGUAUUGGGGGACUCCUCUUCUUGCAUUUUUUGUUCCUCUUUGACUCUUAGCAUUCCUUAUUAGCUUA